rnacentral:rRNA from 1 species
GACGAACGCUGGCGGCGUGCCUAAUACAUGCAAGUAGAACGCUGAAGGAGGAGCUUGCUUCUCUGGAUGAGUUGCGAACGGGUGAGUAACGCGUAGGUAACCUGCCUGGUAGCGGGGGAUAACUAUUGGAAACGAUAGCUAAUACCGCAUAAUAGCAGUUGUUGCAUGACAACUGUUUGAAAGGUGCAAUUGCACCACUACCAGAUGGACCUGCGUUGUAUUAGCUAGUUGGUGGGGUAACGGCUCACCAAGGCGACGAUACAUAGCCGACCUGAGAGGGUGAUCGGCCACACUGGGACUGAGACAAGGCCCAGACUCCUACGGGAGGCAGCAGUAGGGAAUCUUCGGCAAUGGACGGAAGUCUGACCGAGCAACGCCGCGUGAGUGAAGAAGGUUUUCGGAUCGUAAAGCUCUGUUGUAAGAGAAGAACGAGUGUGAGAGUGGAAAGUUCACACUGUGACAGUAUCUUACCAGAAAGGGACGGCUAACUACGUG